AUUAUUGGUGGAAAGUGAUGUUAGAAUGUGAGUGGCAGUGGAGAUAUUAACAUUAUAAACAACGGCUUGGCUUGAAAGAAAUGGCAUAUCAAUGUUCCAGUUUAGCAAUUAGGCCUCUGCGCAAACAAUUUAUUUUUUUUUCAAUUUAUUGAAAUUUAAGGGGUUUGAAUUUUCGGGAGCAUAUUUUGAUUCACUAGAAGGUGGUGCUUGAAUUGUGCAUUCGAGAUACGGUUGCAAAGAGAGAGGCUCGUGGCUGACUGUAUUUACGUGUGGAUUCUAUCUCUAAGUUGAAAAGAGGGGAAAAAAUCAACUAGCAAAUAUGUCACAUCUUCUGAGAGAGGAGGAUAUAUCGCGUAGACUGUCUCGCCGUCGCUGAUCGAAUAGGAAAAGACCUCAAAGACUCGAUUCGCAUGAAGAAUUUAACCAGUCAUUUGACAAGCGUCAAAUUGACGAUGAUUAUCCAAUCGAAAUUCCAAAGAAGUCGCUCUAUUCUUAUAUGGAAGAUUUAUUGAAGAAGAAGAGUUCCGUGAUGCAAUGGCAUCAAACAAGAUGCUUCAAAAAUUCUCGAAGAUGAGUACAUAAGAAAACUGUUCUAACUUUUGGCAGAACAAGAGUCAGUUUUAUCACCUGAUCGUAGUUCAAAAAGAUAAAUUACAUCAGAAGAUAUUUAGGCUAUGGUUUCACGAAUCACAUGAUGGAAAACGAACACCACCACAACGUUUUUCGUUUUGCACCAGUGACAUCGGAAUAUAGUGAUGUUGUAGUAUGUACAGAAGGAAACCAAGGCUGGGCAUUUUGCUGAGGAAGAUUUUGAAUGACAUGUUGUUUCCAUUGAUCUAAAUAUUUCGAUGAUUAGAUAUAGAAUUUUUAGGCAUUAUUUGUUUCAAUCUUCAAUUAGAAAGGUUCCUUUAAUUCUUGUUAAUGAAAAAACAUUACGUGGUU